rnacentral:rRNA from 1 species
GACGAACGCUGGCGGCGUGCCUAAUACAUGCAAGUAGGACGCAGUUGCGAACGGGUUAUUAACGAGUAGGUAACUACCUCUUAGUGGGGGAUAGAUAUUGGAAACGAUAGCUAAUACCGCAUACUGAUAGAUGGACCUGCGUUGUAUUAGGUAGUAGGUCGGGUAAUGGCCUCCCUAGGCAACGUUACAUAGCCGCGCUGUGAGGGUGAGCGGCCACACUGGGACGUGGACACGGGCCAGACUCCGACGGGAGGCAGCAGUAGGGAAUCUUCGGCAAUGGGGGGAAACCUGACCGAGCAACGCCGCGGGAGAGAAGGAGGUGUUCGGGUCGUAAAGCUCUGUUGAUAAGGGAGCGUUACUUAACCAGAAAGGGACGGCUAACUACGUGCCAGCAGCCGCGGUAAUUC